rnacentral:tRNA from 1 species
GUGGAGUAGAGCAAUAUGGUAGCUCGUCAGGCUCAUGACCUGAAGGUUAUAGGUUCAAGUCCUAUCUCCGCC